rnacentral:tRNA from 1 species
GGGGCUGUGGUAUAGCCUGGUAGCAUAUCGCCUUCGGGAGGCGAUGACCUGCGUUCGAAUCGCAGCAGCCCCA